AUUGAACGCUGGCGGCGUGCUUAACACAUGCAAGUCGAUCGGUAACGCGGGGGCAACCCUGGCGACGAGAGGCGGACGGGUGAGGAACGCUUGGGAAUCUGCCCUUCAGCGGGGGACAACCCGGGGAAACUCGGGCUAAUACCGCAUACGCUCCACGGAGGAAAGCCGGGGACCGCAAGGCCUGGCAAUGAAGGAUGAGCCCAAGUAGGAUUAGCUAGUUGGCGGGGUAACGGCCCACCAAGGCGACGAUCCGUAGCUGGUCUGAGAGGACGAUCAGCCACACUGGGACUGAGACACGGCCCAGACUCCUACGGGAGGCAGCAGUGGGGAAUAUUGGACAAUGGGGGAAACCCUGAUCCAGCGACGCCGCGUGGGUGAAGAAGGCCUGCGGGUUGUAAAGCCCUUUCGGUAGGGACGAAAGCUCUCGACCUAACACGUCGGGAGGUUGACUUAACCUACAAAAGAAGCACCGGCUAACUCUGUGCCAGCAGCCGCAGUAAAAC
rnacentral:rRNA from 1 species